UACGUAGGGUGCGAGCGUUGUCCGGAAUUAUUGGGCGUAAAGAGCUCGUAGGCGGUUUGUCGCGUCGACUGUGAAAACCUACAGCUUAACUGUGGGCUUGCAGUCGAUACGGGCAGACUUGAGUUCGGUAGGGGAGACUGGAAUUCCUGGUGUAGCGGUGAAAUGCGCAGAUAUCAGGAGGAACACCGGUGGCGAAGGCGGGUCUCUGGGCCGACACUGACACUGAGAGACGAAAGCUAGGGGAGCGAACAGG
rnacentral:rRNA from 1 species